UACGUAGGGCGCAAGCGUUGUCCGGAAUUAUUGGGCGUAAAGAGCUCGUAGGUGGUUUGUUACGUCUGCUGUGAAAACCUAGGGCUUAACCCUGGGCCUGCAGUGGAUACGGGCAGACUAGAGGUAGGUAGGGGAGAAUGGAAUUCCCGGUGUAGCGGUGAAAUGCGCCAGAUAUCGGGAGGAACACCGGUGGCGAAGGCGGUUCUCUGGGCCUGUACUGACGCUGAGGAGCGAAAGCGUGGGGAGCGAACAGG
rnacentral:rRNA from 1 species